rnacentral:rRNA from 1 species
AGAGGAAGUAAAAGUCGUAACAAGGUUUCCGUAGGUGAACCUGCGGAAGGAUCAUUACCUAGAGUUGUGGGCUUUGCCUGCUAUCUCUUACCCAUGUCUUUUGAGUACUUACGUUUCCUCGGUGGGUUCGCCCGCCGAUUGGACAAUUUAAACCCUUUGCAGUUGCAAUCAGCGUCUGAAAAACAUAAUAGUUACAACUUUCAACAACGGAUCUCUUGGUUCUGGCAUCGAUGAAGAACGCAGCGAAAUGCGAUAAGUAGUGUGAAUUGCAGAAUUCAGUGAAUCAUCGAAUCUUUGAACGCACAUUGCGCCCCUUGGUAUUCCAUGGGGCAUGCCUGUUCGAGCGUCAUUUGUACCUUCAAGCUUUGCUUGGUGUUGGGUGUUUGUCUCGCCUUUGCGUGUAGACUCGCCUUAAAACAAUUGGCAGCCGGCGUAUUGAUUUCGGAGCGCAGUACAUCUCGCGCUUUGCACUCAUAACGACGACGUCCAAAAGUACUUUUUUACACUCUUGACCUCGGAUCAGGUAGGGAUACCCGCUGAACUUAAGCAUAU